GCUGCCACAGAGCAGCGAUCAUCGGCUGCUGCGGGCGCUGGGGCGUGAGCCGGCGCAGGACGCGUG
rnacentral:SRP_RNA from 14 species